AUUGUCGGUCAUCCCCGCAGGAGAGGCUGGGCCAGGUUGUGGUGCGUCCAACCCCCAGCCCUCUGGGCAGACCGGUUGUGAUCUAAGUCAUUUCAAGGGUUUCUCAAUGGACCGAUUGCCAGAGGUUGGGGUGUCAAGAAUUUGGGGUAUCAAGGUUAAGUACAAAACAUGGAUCUUUGUCUGACAAGACAGGCUGGCCGCUGACUGUUAAAUACUUCCCCACAAAAGGGACAAGCCCGGAGCCAGGUUACCGGCCCACACCGCAAGACAGGCUUUCUUUUAGGAAAUGGACAAAGCUCUAUGACCAGAACAAGCACUUUGGGGAAUUUAAAUUUGCUUUCCCUGACACGACUCCACUUUCAUCACUACCCCUGAACUUAAGGGGCAUCCAAACCUCAGUCUCAGCAGGUGCAGCUGUGUCACUGGGAUGGACACAGGAAGCAAUGUGGGGUCUUUGCUGCCAGUGAGCUCCCGGUCUAGGAGAAGAGAGAGGAAGCAUCUUUAUCUGUGU
rnacentral:lncRNA from 1 species